AAUGAACGUUGGCGGCGUGGAUUAGGCAUGCAAGUCGAACGCCCCGCGAGGGGAGUGGCGCAAGGGUGAGUAAGGCGACGGUAACCAACCCCGCGAUUGGGCAUAGCCGAGGGAAACCUCGGGUAAUUCCCAGCGACGUCGAGGGCCGGCAUCGGCCCUCGACCAAAGAUUCAUCGUCGCGGGACGGGCCGUCGUGGUAUUAGCUUGUUGGCGGGGUAACGGCCCACCAAGGCUGCGAUGCCUACCGGGUGUGCGAGCAUGGCCCGGCACACUGGGACUGAGACACUGCCCAGACUCCUACGGGAGGCUGCAGUCGAGAAUCUUCGGCAAUGGGCGCAAGCCUGACCGAGCGACGCCGCGUGGAGGACGAAGGCCUUCGGUUGUAAACGUCCUGUCGAAGGGAGGAAUUGUAGUGGGUUCACCCAUUAUAUUGACCGAUCCUUGGAGGAAGGGCCGGCGUAAUCUCGUGCCAGCAGCCGCGGUAA
rnacentral:rRNA from 1 species